rnacentral:rRNA from 1 species
UACGUAGGGUGCAAGCGUUGUCCGGAAUUAUUGGGCGUAAAGAGCUCGUAGGCGGUUUGUCGCGUCUGCUGUGAAAACCCGGGGCUCAACUCCGGAUCUGCGGUGGGUACGGGCAGACUAGAGUGAUGUAGGGGAGACUGGAAUUCCUGGUGUAGCGGUGAAAUGCGCAGAUAUCAGGAGGAACACCGGUGGCGAAGGCGGGUCUCUGGGCCGAUACUGACGCUGAGGAGCGAAAGCGUGGGGAGCGAACAGG